GAUGAAGAACGCAGCGAAAUGCGAUAAGUAGUGUGAAUUGCAGAAUUCAGUGAAUCAUCGAAUCUUUGAACGCACAUUGCGCCCAUUAGUAUUCUAGUGGGCAUGCCUGUUCGAGCGUCAUUUCAACCCUUAAGCCCCUGUUGCUUAGCGUUGGGAGCCUACAGCCUGCUGUAGUUCCUCAAAGUUAGUGGCGGAGUCAGUUCACACUCUAGACGUAGUAAAAUCUUUAUCUCGCCUAUAGAUGAGCUGGCGCCUUGCCGUAAAAAACCCCUAAUCUUUUACAAGGUUGACCUCGGAUCAGGUAGGAAUACCCGCUGAACUUAAGCAUAUCAAUAAGCGGAGGA
rnacentral:misc_RNA from 1 species